rnacentral:lncRNA from 1 species
GUCUUGCUUUCUUUAGGUAAAGUUUUACAGUAACCUCCUUUGUAGUCCUUUGAAGAUGAGGAUUUGAGAAAUCCCAACUCCUAAAGUAGGGGAGAGACAGCAGCAGAAUAUGACCCACAGCCAGACCCAAAGGGGCUAGCCCGACCCCUGUAUAUAUUGUACCUCUCUCUCUGCCCACCUCUCCCCCACUUCUCCCCACUGCCCCAUUCUCUCUUAUCCUGCCUAUUCCUCUCCCCUAUUUCUCUGUCUCUCUCUCUCUCACAUACACACACACUCACUCACAAGCAGUACAGUCACUAAGUUGGCUAGGUAAUAUCCAAAGCAUUCUGAUUGUCCUACUUUUUGUAAAUUGAACUUAUUUAAGAUAUUUUAGAAGAGAUGAGUCACGUCUUCCUUUGACCCUUCACCCAUAACACACAUACCAUUCUCACAGGAGGCCACAUGGUGCAGUAGAGUCAGACUUUGAUUCAAAGCCCAACUCUGUCACGUGACAGUAGGCUUGAGUUUCCUCAUCUGUAAAAAGGGAAGAUUUCCUACUUCAUAAAGUGGUUGGAGAAAUUAAAGAAAUAGUAUAUGAAGCCUUGCACAUAAAAAGCAUUUGAUAUAUAUUAAUGCCCUUUUGCACAAGAGGUCAAGAAUUGCUUGGGUUCUA